rnacentral:lncRNA from 1 species
GGUGGAUACUGCUUGUCCUAAAGAUUCAGGAGGAAUAGAACUUUCUCCAGGAACCCAGGGACUUAUCCAGGGAUGACAAUCUAACUUUUUAGGGUCUGAUUGAAAGAUCUGCAUCCUUGUGGACAAGAACUUAACUCUACAGAGGAGAUUCCUCCUGCCACAGGAUUACACCUGGAAAGAUUUUAACAUUCUUUUCCUUUGUCAAGUCCCCAAAGGAUACAUUCCUGAUAGGGAAUCCUAGAGUUUAUUCUCCCUUGAAUGACUAAGGCCCUAGGCAAAGCUGAAGAGGAGUCUGGAUUCUGUGAGAAUGAACAAGGCAGCUGCUCGGAGUCGGCUGCUGAGGGGGCCAUCUGUUUAAGCAACGAGAAGUACGGAGCUAAAGAGGCACACGGUAUUCAAACAUGUGAUAACAUAGGAUGUGACUGUUUAAAUUCACCUGGCUUCGGUCAACAUUGACAGAAGGUGUACAUGACUCUACGGGAAUGGGGAAAUGGCAGCACCAGGGGCUGACUGAGCCCCAGUCCUGACUGUGACUGCUUUGGUAACAACAAGGUGUUUAGGAAGAACAGUCCCAGUCCUUUUCCAAAGGUCGCCUCCUGGUGUUUACUAAAGGAACUCUGAGUCUCAGCAGAAGCAGAAGUCCUACCAUUAGCUUGCAGAACCCUUCAGGAUGGGAAAGAAGACUUGGGCUUCAGUGACUCAGCCUGGAGCUGGGAACAGGCAGGCAGGGAUACAGAGUGGGUGUUCUUCUCCUACAGGAGGAGAGAUGCAUCCCUCAUGCCCAGAGAGGCUCUGGGGUCCCCGAAUCCAGAGGUAGUAGAAGAAGAGUCAAAACACACUCUCCUGAGAACACAUCUCAGGUGCAUGGAACACAAGACACGCUGCUUUGAUUAGGGUGCUCUCUUGUCCAUUUUGUUCUAUAAUCCACAAGAGAAGACCAUCUGCACAGCAGUGACAUGCUCUAGUUGACCAUGAUGAGCCUUUCCUAGGGAAACUAUUUUGAGUGGUAUAUCUUACAGGAGACUGCAAGGCUCAAUAGUACAGUCACCAGGAAAAUCUACAUGUAAAUAUGACACUUAUGAACCGGCAAUAAAAUAUGGUGAGUCUAAAGAC